GUAGGGAAUAUUGGGCAAUGGAGGCAACUCUGACCCAGCCAUGCCGCGUGUAGGAAGAAUGCCCUCUGGGUUGUAAACUACUUUUAUACGGGAAGAAAAAAUACUACGUGUAGUAUACUGACGGUACCGUAAGAAUAAGGAUCGGCUAACUCCGUGCCAGCAGCCGCGGUAAUACGGAGGAUUCGAGCGUUGUCCGGAUUUAUUGGGUUUAAAGGGUGCGUAGGCGGAUUUUUAAGUCAGUGGUGAAAGCCUGCAGCUCAACUGUAGAAUUGCCAUUGAAACUGAAAAUCUUGAAUUUGGUUAAAGUAGGCGGAAUGUAUCAUGUAGCGGUGAAAUGCUUAGAUAUGAUACAGAACACCGAUAGCGAAGGCAGCUUGCUGAACCAAUAUUGACGCUGAGGCACGAAAGCGUGGGGAGCAAACAGGAUUAGAUACCCUUGUAGUCC
rnacentral:rRNA from 1 species